CCUGAACCCAAGAUGACUGGUGUCUUUACAGGAAGAGGAGAGACAGACGCAGAGAGGAGACUCCCAUGUGGUAAAGGAGACACAGGGAAUUUGUAUUGGCAGAGGCAGAGAUUGGAAGGAAGCACCGGGGGAGCCAAAGGAAACUAGGAGAGAAGGAAGGAAGGAUUGUCUCCCGAUGCUCCCAGGAAGCCCAGCCCAGACAUCUGCAGUGUAGACACAGACUCCACAACGUGACAGAAUGUGUUUCUAUUGCUGCCAGCUACCCCGUUUGUGACCAUUUGUUACGGCAGCCCCAGGAAAUGAGUGUGGUCUAUUUUUACCUGUAUCUCCAGUCUUCGUCUGGACAGAAUUCUCCCCCAUUAUCUGUGAUUUUGGCUGCCUGUGCUCAAUAGCGUCCUGGAAGCCGAUGCUCCUGCUUAUGUAUUGCAAAGGGAACGAGGCCGACCAAGAAUCACGGUGCUGUUCAUUUCAGACAUGGGAGCAGAAGACAAGAUUUCAGACUCAUACACACUGCGACCCCAUGCCCGACUUCAAAAAAACAGUGAUUCAUCCAGACACCAAAGCUCAGCAGCUCAGAGUCAACCUCAAAUAUAGUCAAAGCUCACCAAGUGCUCCCCCAAGAAAAAUAGAACCUAAGUGCCUGACGACCUUUACCGCAGGCAUAUUUUUAGGGACGUGCCUAUCCCGUAUACUUCUUGCUCCCUCACGUAGAAGGAAAUCUCUAGAAUAACACCUCCAACUGAGCCUCUCUUCCUCCAACUCUCUUGCUCCCCAGGUAAGAAAGAGGGUCUGCACCUGUUGGGCAUCACAGAGGACCAACGUCUCCUCUCUUAUCCUCUCUUCUCCCCUCCUCUCUAUUUCGACUAUUCUACUAUUUUAAAAAUAAUAGAUGCAAUCAUUUCAUUUGAAUUAUUUAAUUCCUAGCGAUUUAAAAUCAGACACUUGAACGACCCGACUAACUUUUCCUAAUGAAGCUAGCAAUUUUUUAAAUGUGUUAUGUGACACGCCCUGCACGUUUUCGUUUUAAGUGAGAACUCUGUAUAAUGAACGGUAGAGACAAACUUCCUAAGUCUGUCGCCACUAGAAUUAUCUAGGCUUGUUUCUGAUAAAAUCACUUUUCACAAAUUGUAGAGAAUGCCGACUGCCGUAAUGUGUCAUGUCCAUGGAUUCUCGUAUCUGCAGAUGGCCAGAGCCCACUAGGCAGCUGCCACCUGCUUUCCCCCUUAUUAACUUGGGUAGAGACCCUCCGCCCUUGCCCACCCACCACUCUGCUGCAUUCCAUAUGACACUAAAGACUUCCUUUUGAGGCCAAACCAGAAUCUGGCAUCGUGACCUUCACCAGAAAGCUAACUCCUGCGGAAAACUGCACUAGACGGUAGAAAUCGUAAAGUACUCUUGUCACAUGCAAUGUAAAUCCCCAAAUCAACAAAUAGGUAGUUGUCAAAACGUGUCACUUCUCCACGGUGGCGUGCUGACAACUCGUGAGAUAUUUUAGGUGCAUUUUGACAACAAGGCAUAAUUAACUGUGGCUGCAUUUUGGAAGGAUUUUUUAAUUUUAAUUUUUUUUUUUUUUCUGAGAAUAUCAACUGGCCCAGAUUCCCCAGGUAGGGAGGGACGUCAUCAACAAAGGCUGUUACUCUGCCGAAGAACUGGCCUUGAGGCUCUCCCUAGGAGUUGCAAAGCAAUGAGAUUUCCUUCCCACGGAGUGGCAACACACACGUGAAUGUGCA
rnacentral:lncRNA from 1 species